CCUACGGGAGGCUGCAGUGGGGAAUAUUGCACAAUGGGGGAAACCCUGAUGCAGCGACGCCGCGUGAGUGAAGAAGUAUCUCGGUACGUAAAGCUCUAUCAGCAGGGAAGAAAAUGACGGUACCUGACUAAGAAGCCCCGGCUAACUACGUGCCAGCAGCCGCGGUAAUACGUAGGGGGCAAGCGUUAUCCGGAUUUACUGGGUGUGAAGGGAGCGUAGACGGCAGCGCAAGGCUGGAGUGAAAUGCCGGGGCCCAACCCCGGAACUGCUCUGGAAACUGUGCGGCUAGAGUACUGGAGGGGCAGGCGGAAUUCCUAGUGUAGCGGUGAAAUGCGUAGAUAUUAGGAGGAACACCAGUGGCGAAGGCGGCCUGCUGGACAGUAACUGACGUUGAGGCUCGAAAGCGUGGGGAGCAAACAGGAUUAGAUACCCUUGUAGUC
rnacentral:rRNA from 1 species